UGGGGAAUUUUGGACAAUGGGCGCAAGCCUGAUCCAGCCAUGCCGCGUGCGGGAAGAAGGCCUUCGGGUUGUAAACCGCUUUUGUCAGGGAAGAAAUCUUCUGAGUUAAUACCUCGGGAGGAUGACGGUACCUGAAGAAUAAGCACCGGCUAACUACGUGCCAGCAGCCGCGGUAAUACGUAGGGUGCAAGCGUUAAUCGGAAUUACUGGGCGUAAAGCGUGCGCAGGCGGUUUUGUAAGACAGAGGUGAAAUCCCCGGGCUCAACCUGGGAACUGCCUUUGUGACUGCAAGGCUUGAGUGCGGCAGAGGGGGAUGGAAUUCCGCGUGUAGCAGUGAAAUGCGUAGAUAUGCGGAGGAACACCGAUGGCGAAGGCAAUCCCCUGGGCCUGCACUGACGCUCAUGCACGAAAGCGUGGGGAGCAAACAGAUUAGAUACCCUGGUAGUCCACGCCCUAAACGAUGUCAACUGGUUGUUGGGAAGGUUCCUUCUCAGUAACGUAGCUAACGCGUGAAGUUGACCGCCUGGGGAGUACGGCCGCAAGGUUGAAACUCAAAUGAAUUGACGGGGUCAUAGCUGUUU
rnacentral:rRNA from 1 species